GCCCGGCUGGCUCAGGUGGUGGAGCAUGUGAUUCUUGAUCUCAGGGUUGUGAGUUUGAGCCUCCUGUUGAGCA
rnacentral:tRNA from 1 species